UUCCUAUUUAUAAAGAAGCUAUAUUAAAUCUUAAAUAUAUAAGAGAAGAGGCUUUCAUUUCUCUUCAUCUGUUUUGUUUUGUCCUUCUCCCUAAUCUAAAUCUAAUCUUAUAAGGCCCAUCAGCACCGCAGUCGAAAAGUUUAUUUAGGUCUAAGCCUGAUACGUCCUCACUAUCAUCUCCAUUUUCAGACAAUUCUUUCUUGCCCUUUUCCGAUUUCCUAGAUUUCUUUCUCUUGGAAGGUGAAGCUCUAGAAUUUGAAUUUCUAGUCUGCUCAUUAAACAACCAAACCUUUCCUAUAAUCAUUGGAGCGUGGUGGUAGAUAACUAUGCCCACUACUAUACCAAUAAACAAAGCAAGAGACAACGCAGUUGACCAAUCAAAUAAGUUACUCUUACUUAAUAUACUAUCAUGCCCAAGGGCCUUGGAGCUUCGAAAAAUUGAACGAAGCAUCAAAGGAGAACAAGAAUUCACCCAAGUUCACGUUUAUUCAUAUUCGUUAGCUUUGGUGACGGCUAUCAACAAUGAGGAGAUGUAAUUCAACAAGUUAGGAGUGUUGUUUGAAGAUGUUAUAGCUUUAUUGUCUAAAUUUCCGGGAGCAGUUUUGUCCCAUGUGGCUCGCUCUGAGAAUUUAGCGGCCCAUGGCUUGGCAAAGCAUGCUCUGCGGUUAGACGAUGAGCUAUCCUGGUUCGAGGAGGUUCCAGCGCCGAUGGCGGACGUGGACAUCGUAAAUUCACGAGUGAUUCUAAUCACUUUGUCAAAAAAAAAAAAAAAAUCUUAAAUAUAUAAAGCUCCUCUUUAAAAA